rnacentral:tRNA from 1 species
UGGGCCUAUAGCUCAGCUGGUUAGAGCGCACGCCUGAUAAGCGUGAGGUCGAUGGUUCGAGUCCAUUUAGGCCCAUAAU